rnacentral:rRNA from 1 species
GACGAACGCUGGCGGCGUGCUUAACACAUGCAAGUCGAGCGGUAAGGCCCUUUCGGGGUACGACGAGCGGCGAACGGGUAGGAGUAACAACGUGGGUGGACCUCGCCCUCCAGCCCUCGGGAGUAAAGACCUCGGGAAACCGGGGUACCGUAAUAACCGGACGUAUGACUCCAUGACGCAUGUUGUGGGGUGGGAAAGACCUUGUGCGGCUGAGGAUGGGCCCGGCCGGCCUAUCAGCUUGUUGGUGGGGU